GACGAACGCUGGCGGCGUGCUUAGCACAUGCCAGUCGAACGGAAAGGCCCUGCUUUUGUGGGGUGCUCGAGUGGCGAACGGGUGAGUAACACGUGAGUAACCUGCCCUUGACUUUGGGAUAACUUCAGGAAACUGGGGCUAAUACCGGAUAGGAGCUCCUGCUGCAUGGUGGGGGUUGGAAAGUUUCGGCGGUUGGGGAUGGACUCGCGGCUUAUCAGCUUGUUGGUGGGGUAGUGGCUUACCAAGGCUUUGACGGGUAGCCGGCCUGAGAGGGUGACCGGCCACAUUGGGACUGAGAUACGGCCCAGACUCCUACGGGAGGCAGCAGUGGGGAAUAUUGCACAAUGGGCGGAAGCCUGAUGCAGCAACGCCGCGUGCGGGAUGACGGCCUUCGGGUUGUAAACCGCUUUCGCCUGUGACGAAGCGUGAGUGACGGUAAUGGGUAAAGAAGCACCGACUAACUACGUG
rnacentral:rRNA from 1 species